rnacentral:misc_RNA from 1 species
UAAAAAAAAAAAACAAAAAAAAGAAUAAGAAUCCCAAAAUUUUUAUGGGAAGAAUAAGAAGAGGCUUAGAAUUUUUAGAGCUCUAAUAUCAUGUUGAAAUUUAGAAGGGUAGAAAAGAUAGAAGGAAAGUAGCAAGAGAAAGAUUUAUGUGGUUUAGCUACUGAUAGCCUAUAUCCACAGAUACAAAAUCUUAAAAAGGGUUACAUUUUAUUCACUUAUGUGGUGUGCAUCACAUGAUACAUAAAACAACAUAUUUAUCCCAAAAAUUUGGGGUCAACUAUAUGGAUUCAC